GCCUAUGCAGCUCAUGAUGAAAAUACAGUUGGUAGAGCAUUAGACUCUUAAGCUCAGGGUUGUGGGUUCAAGUCACACUUUGGGCA